rnacentral:misc_RNA from 1 species
GAUGAAGAACGUAGCGAAAUGCGAUAAGUAAUGCGAAUUGCAGAAUUCCAGUGAGUCAUCGAAUCUUUGAACGCACAUUGCGCCCUUUGGUUUUCCGAAGGGCAUGCCUGUUCGAGCGUCAUUAUCACCCCUCAAGCCCUCGGCUUGGUGUUGGACGGUUUGGUGGAGGCCCCCUCGGGGGUUCCUGCCCCUCCCAAAGACAAUGACGGCGGCCUCGUUGGACCCCCGGUACACUGAGUUUUUCACGGGACACGUAUCGGACACAUGGGUUUACGGGACACGGUCUGCCUCCCCUCAGGGAGAAUCUUUCUAAGGUUGACCUCGGAUCAGGUAGGGAUACCCGCUGAACUUAAGCAUAUCAAUAAGCGGAGGA